rnacentral:rRNA from 1 species
GAUGAACGCUGGCGGCGUGCCUAAUACAUGCAAGUCGAACGAAGCACCUCGGUGCUUAGUGGCGAACGGGUGAGUAACACGUGGGUAACCUGCCCUCAAGACGAGGAUAACCGUUGGAAACGAUGGCUAAGACUGGAUAGGAACCGAGGAGGCAUCUCCAUGGUUUUAAAGGACCCGCAAGGGUACGCUUGAGGAGGGGCCUGCGGCGCAUUAGUUAGUUGGCGGGGUGAUGGCCCACCAAGACGAUGAUGCGUAGCCGGACUGAGAGGUUGAACGGCCACAUUGGGACUGAGAGACGGCCCAAACUCCUACGGGAGGCUG